UACGGAGGGGGCUAGCGUUGUUCGGAAUUACUGGGCGUAAAGCGCACGUAGGCGGCUUUCUAAGUCGGGGGUGAAAUCCUGGAGCUCAACUCCAGAACUGCCUUCGAUACUGGAAAGCUCGAGUCCGGGAGAGGUGAGUGGAGCUGCGAGUGUAGAGGUGAAAUUCGUAGAUAUUCGCAAGAACACCAGUGGCGAAGGCGGCUCACUGGCCCGGUACUGACGCUGAGGUGCGAAAGCGUGGGGAGCAAACAGG
rnacentral:rRNA from 1 species